rnacentral:rRNA from 1 species
UGCAGUCGACGAAGUAGCAAUACUUAGUGGCAGACGGGUGAGUAACAUGUGGGUAUCUUCCCUUUGGUGAGGAAUAACACGAGGAAACUUGUGCUAAUACCUCAUAAGUCUUUACAGAGAAAGCUUUAUGCGCCAUUGGAUGAGCCCGCACUUGAUUAGUUUGUUGGUGGGGUAAUGGCCUACCAAGACAAUGAUCAAUAGCUGAUUUGAGAGGAUGAUCAGCCACAUUGGGACUGAGACACGGCCCAAACUCCUACGGGAGGCAGCAGUAGGGAAUCUUGCACAAUGGAGGAAACUCUGAUGCAGCGAUGCCGCGUGAGUGAAGAAGGCCUUUGGGUUGUAAAGCUCUUUCGUCGGGGAAGAAAAUGACUGUACCCGAAUAAGAAGGUCCGGCUAACUUCGUGCCAGCAGCCGCGGUAAUACGAAGGGACCUAGCGUAGUUCGGAAUUACUGGGCUUAAAGAGUUCGUAGGUGGUUAAAAAAGUUGAUGGUGAAAUCCCAGAGCUUAACUCUGGAACUGCCAUCAAAACUUUUUAGCUAGAGUAUGAUAGAGGAAAGCAGAAUUUCUAGUGUAGAGGUGAAAUUCGUAGAUAUUAGAAAGAAUACCAAUUGCGAAGGCAGCUUUCUGGAUCAUUACUGACACUGAGGAACGAAAGCAUGGGUAGCGAAGAGGAUUAGAUACCCUCGUAGUCCAUGCCGUAAACGAUGUGUGUUAGACGUUGGAAAUUUAUUUUCAGUGUCGCAGCGAAAGCAAUAAACACACCGCCUGGGGAGUACGACCGCAGGUU